UACAGAGGGUGCGAGCGUUAAUCGGAAUUACUGGGCGUAAAGCGUGCGUAGACGGUCAUGUAAGUCGGGUGUGAAAGCCCCGGGCUCAACCUGGGAAUUGCAUUCGAGACUGCAUGGCUAGGAUGCGGAAGAGGGAAGCGGAAUUUCCGGUGUAGCGGUGAAAUGCGUAGAUAUCAGGAGGAACACCGAUUGCGAAGGCAGCUCGCUGGGACGUAACUGACGCUGAGACGCGAAAGCGUGGGGAGCAAACAGG
rnacentral:rRNA from 1 species